rnacentral:misc_RNA from 1 species
UAUGAUGCAAGCUAAACUAGCUAAAAGCAUUCCCUGUACAUAUAUAUUUUUGGACAAGAGAUAAGCAAAAGAAGUAUACAAGCAAGAAAGCACAACCCAUCACCAAUACUUCUUACAGAACAAUUAAGAUGCAAAUAAUGAAUCUCACAUGCACGUUCCCCAGGAUUAUUUUCCACAGAUCAAAAUUAGUUGACGUGGUCUUUUAUCAGAAGCCCAAAACCUUAGGUGCUAUACGUAACAGAGGCUCCAAAGCACUUGGGGCAAAUUUUCUCCCAAAAAGAAAACACAUUGAAGAGGGUUGAUUGUUGUAUGUGCAGUUCCGACCUUCAUAAAUCCUUUUGAAAAAAUCCUCUGUUAUAUCUGAUCUUCCAAAGGUUGCCGGGUGAGCUCCACCCCUUGACCAGUCCACCCAAGUAAGGCUUCUAUUUGCUAAGAGAUGUGCUGCUUGAAUGGUUAGCAUGGUGGGGAAAUAAUGUUCAUCAACAUAACAAUGUGGCUUACAGAAUUUUUCAAAUUUUGGGUAGUAUGUGGUAUCUUCCACUAUCUUAACUCCAAGCCUUCGGUUUAUCUCAAACCACUGAGAACCUUUUCGCCAAUGGGUGAUAUUCACCUCAGGUGCCAUGCUUUCAUUAUACCGUCCUCUUCCAUAUGGACCAUGGUCAUCAAAUGCACCAAUGAAGCUAUAUCUGGAUUUCAUAAUGUAGUGAUAGAUGAUACUGAAAUUGU